rnacentral:rRNA from 1 species
GGAUAGAGGCCUACCAUGGUUUUAACGGGUAACGGGGAAUUAGGGUUCGAUUCCGGAGAGGGAGCCUGAGAAACGGCUACCACAUCCAAGGAAGGCAGCAGGCGCGCAAAUUACCCAAUCCCGACACGGGGAGGUAGUGACAAUAAAUAACAAUACGGGGCUCAUUUGGGUCUCGUAAUUGGAAUGAGUACAAUUUAAAUCCCUUAACGAGGAACAAUUGGAGGGCAAGUCUGGUGCCAGCAGCCGCGGUAAUUCCAGCUCCAAUAGCGUAUAUUAAAGUUGUUGCAGUUAAAAAGCUCGUAGUUGAACUUCGGAAUUUAAUUAUUGGUCAGGCUUAACUGUCUGUACUGGUGUUAUGAAUUUCUACCUUCUGAGGAAUUAUCAUGCCAUUUAGUUGGUGUGGUAGGGAAUCAGGACUGUUACUUUGAAAAAAUUAGAGUGUUUAAAGCAGGCUAACGUCUGAAUACAUUAGCAUGGAAUAAUAGAAUAGGACGGAUUGGUUCUAUUUUGUUGGUUUCUAGGAUCACCGUAAUGAUUAAUAGGGAUAGUUGGGGGCAUUAGUAUUCAAUUGUCAGAGGUGAAAUUCUUGGAUUUAUUGAAGACUAACUACUGCGAAAGCAUUUGCCAAGGAUGUUUUCAUUAAUCAAGAACGAAAGUUAGGGGAUCGAAGACGAUCAGAUACCGUCGUAGUCUUAACCAUAAACUAUGCCGACUAGGGAUCGGACGAAGUUAAUUUUUAAAUGACUCGUUCGGCACCUUACGGGAA